rnacentral:rRNA from 1 species
AGUCGAGCGGUAAGAGAGCUUGCUUCUCUUGAGAGCGGCGGACGGGUGAGUAAUGCCUAGGAAUCUGCCUGGUAGUGGGGGAUAACGUCCGGAAACGGACGCUAAUACCGCAUACGUCCUACGGGAGAAAGCAGGGGACCUUCGGGCCUUGCGCUAUCAGAUGAGCCUAGGUCGGAUUAGCUAGUUGGUGGGGUAAUGGCUCACCAAGGCGACGAUCCGUAACUGGUCUGAGAGGAUGAUCAGUCACACUGGAACUGAGACACGGUCCAGACUCCUACGGGAGGCAGCAGUGGGGAAUAUUGGACAAUGGGCGAAAGCCUGAUCCAGCCAUGCCGCGUGUGUGAAGAAGGUCUUCGGAUUGUAAAGCACUUUAAGUUGGGAGGAAGGGCAGUAAAUUAAUACUUUGCUGUUUUGACGUUACCGACAGAAUAAGCACCGGCUAACUCUGUGCCAGCAGCCGCGGUAAUACAGAGGGUGCAAGCGUUAAUCGGAAUUACUGGGCGUAAAGCGCGCGUAGGUGGUUCGUUAAGUUGGAUGUGAAAUCCCCGGGCUCAACCUGGGAACUGCAUUCAAAACUGACGAGCUAGAGUAUGGUAGAGGGUGGUGGAAUUUCCUGUGUAGCGGUGAAAUGCGUAGAUAUAGGAAGGAACACCAGUGGCGAAGGCGACCACCUGGACUGAUACUGACACUGAGGUGCGAAAGCGUGGGGAGCAAACAGGAUUAGAUACUCUGGUAGUCCACGCCGUAAACGAUGUCAACUAGCCGU